GAACUGGGCCAAGCGCCCCCGGAGGCGCUAAGCUUGCGCCCUGAGGCGGUUUCCGUUCCCGGACGUUUGGACUCUGUCCUGGAGAAGGGGAAGGAAAAAGUAAGACGUAGAAGUACACUGAGACUUCGUCACACAUAAAACAAGCACGACAAAGAAAGAGGGCGCGAAGGGACUCCUGGAAGAAAUUGAGUCUACAUUUAAGAUCACCCUAAAAGUAGUGACGGCCUCUUCAUUACUCCAAACCCCAGAUUUAAGUCGGUAGGACGUCUUCGCGUUGACUUGUGGGGAAUGUAGUUUCGAUGCUGCCGGCGCGUUUUGUUUGCGACAGAAACUACAACCCCCAGGGGCCACCGCGACGUUGCCUGUGGGUGCCCGCGAACCAACGGUUAGCGGUGGCAGGGGCUGACUGAGAGCGUCUGCUUGUGCCUGGUACCUAGUACAAACUUAAUAAAUGUGUGACGCAAGAAUAAAGGAAUGAAUGAAUGGAAGAAUGAUAUAAUGCCACAGAACUUUCAAAGAGUCUUUCUCUGUCACCCAGGCUGGAGUACAGUGGCACGAU
rnacentral:lncRNA from 10 species